CAACUUAAAAAGUGGGUUUGUAAAAUUAAAAUGAUACUGAGAAGCUUAACAUGGCCCCUGAUAAGAAUAACACACAAAUUGAAGCAUUGAAAAUAAAGUUU
rnacentral:snRNA from 1 species